GACAGAGGGGGCAAGCGUUGCUCGGAAUCACUGGGCGUAAAGGGCGCGUAGGCGGGAUGGCAAGUCAGUCGUGAAAUCUCUCGGCUCAACCGAGAAACGUCGGCUGAUACUGCCGUUCUUGAGGGAUGCAGAGGGGACUGGAAUUCCCGGUGUAGCGGUGAAAUGUGUAGAGAUCGGGAGGAACACCGGUGGCGAAGGCGGGUCUCUGGGCAUCUCCUGACGCUGAGGCGCGAAAGCGUGGGGAGCAAACGGG
rnacentral:rRNA from 1 species